AGGGGUUUGGUGUAAUGGCAGCAUUGUGGUCUCCAAAACCACCGAUGGGAGUUCGAAUCUCUCCGCCCCUG
rnacentral:tRNA from 1 species